rnacentral:rRNA from 1 species
AUUGAACGCUGGCGGCAGGCCUAACACAUGCAAGUCGAACGAGUGGCGGACGGGUGAGUAAUGUCUGGGAAACUGCCUGAUGGAGGGGGAUAACUACUGGAAACGGUAGCUAAUACCGCAUACCAUCAGAUGUGCCCAUAUGGGAUUAGCUAGUUGGUGGGGUAACGGCUAACCAGGGCUACGAUCCCUAGAUGGUCUGAGGGGAAGACAAGCCACACUGGAAGUGAGACACGGUCCAGACUCCUACGGGAGGCAGCAGUGGGGAAUAUUGCACAAUGGGCGCAAGCCUGAUGCAGCCAUGCCGCGUGUAUGAAGAAGGCCUUCGGGUUGUAAAGUACUUUCAGCGGGGAGGCGUUACCCGCAGAAGAAGCACCGGCUAACUCCGUGCCAGCCGCCGCGGUAAUUC